rnacentral:rRNA from 1 species
AGACCUCAAAUCAGGUGGGACUACCUGCUGAACUUAAGCAUAUCAAUAAGCAGAGGAAAAGAAACUAACAAGGAUUCCCCUAGUAAUGGCGAAUGAAGAGGGAAAAGCCCAAAUUUGUAAUCUGGCUCUUUCAGAGUCCGAGUUGUAAUUUUAAGAACUGUUUUCAGUGCUGGACCAUGUAUAAGUCUGUUGAAAGGCAGCAUCAUAGAAGGUGAUAAUCCUGUUCAUGAUGUGGACUACCAGUGCAAUAUGAUACAGUCUCUAAGAGUCGAGUUGUUUGGGAAUGCAGCUCAAAGUGGGU